GCUUAAGGCCAUACCAGCCUGAAUACGCCCGAUCUCGUCCGAUCUCGGAAGCUAAGCAGGGUCGGGCCUGGUUAGUACUUGGAUGGGAGACCGCCUGGGAAUACCAGGUGCUGUAAGCU
rnacentral:rRNA from 13 species